rnacentral:lncRNA from 1 species
UUUUUUAGGAUGGAAAGCAGGUUGGAGGAAACCUGGUUCUUAAUUGGUUCUAUAUCAACUAAAGCAGAUGGACCACACUCUGGUCUGUUUCAGAGUCAUACAUCUCUUUAUGGGGCUUCUGCUGACAUUAAGAAUAAUGAAAUCCAAGUUUACAUUCCCCCGGACAACAAACUGAGAAUUCUUUUCUGGGGAAAUGAAUCUAAGAGCAAACAAAACAAGACAACUCUAUACUGAAUUUUGGGGACUCUCCAAUGAAAGAGCCAGUUUCCUGACCCAUCUGUCUGUACGGUAAGGAUC